rnacentral:hammerhead_ribozyme from 1 species
GUACUGCUGAAGACUCCAAAACUAGGACGAAACAGCUGUCCAGUAC